rnacentral:lncRNA from 1 species
CCCCAACGCUUUACAGCCAAACCAAGGGUGGCCUGACAUCCUCACCUUUAAUUCUGGUUCGUGUAGCAACAACAUUGGACGGCUGGCAAACUCCACCCCUUCCCCCCUUCCCCUUUCCCCUUCCCGCUGAGGUGCCCUGCAAUUAUGUCGCUCUAACAUGCCCUUGUCUCCUCCAUUUUGGUUGUAGCAUCAGCAGCAGCAGCAGCAGCACCGGCCACUAAAGACUCGCGGCCAGCGGCACCAGGCCACGAUCGCGUUCGCCUCACAGCCAACUCAACUCCCCAAAGGUGUUUGUCGAAAUGCCUCUCCGCCCCCCCAAAACGGCACUCUGCAGCUGUGUCUGGAGCCUCCCUCCCUCCUUCCAAGCCCAUUCCCCUUCGCAGCUUCUUCCCACCAUGCUCUAUUAUGACUAGAGGAAAAGAAUGAAAGAGGAGUGUGUUUAACAUUUCGAUCCAGGUUUCCUACUCGAGAGAGAGAGAGAGAGAGAGGGUCGGGCUACAAUCUGAUGGUCAUGGG